rnacentral:rRNA from 1 species
UAGCAUAAUCAUUAGUUUUUUAAUUGAGAACUGGAAUGAAAGGUUUAAUAAAAAAUAAUCUUUAUUAGUAUUAAAAUAUUUGAAUUUGUUUUUUUAGUAAAAAAACUAAAAUUUAUAAAAAAGACGAUAAGACCCUAUAAAGCUUUAUAAUAUAUAUAUAUUAUAAUUUUUUAGAAUAUAUAAAUUAUUUUUUUUUUAUUAUUUAAUUGGGGUGAUUUAAAGAUUUAAAAAAUUCUUUAAUUUUAGUAUUAUUCAUAUUUAAAUGGUUUUUGAUCCUUAAAAUUUUAAGAUUAUUAAAAUAAGUUACUUUAGGGAUAACAGCGUAAUUUUUUUAAAGAGUUCAAAUCGAUAAAAAAGAUUGCGACCUCGAUGUUGAAUUAAGAUAAAAGUUAGGUGUAAAAGUUUAAUUUUU